rnacentral:lncRNA from 1 species
UUUGUUUGUAUGAAAUGUGCUCUGUGAUAUAUUUCGAGCGCACUUUUUUACUAGGAAAUAAGGCAUUCAAAAAACAGAGAUAUACCCCUAAAAAAAAGUACAGACAGAUGAUGCUAUAUGACUGUUGUGACAGUUGUGUCUAUAUGACUGUUGUGACAGUUGUGUGUGUCCAAGAAGAAGGAAUAAACAUGAAAGCAAGAUGAUCAGGGGGCUGAAGCCCCCUCCCAAUUUUUGAGUUUUUUUUAAUGAAUAAAUAAAUAUAGUAAUAAUGAAAAUUAUAAUACGAAG